rnacentral:rRNA from 1 species
CGGGCAGGUGGUCCGUUAAGUCGUUUGUGAAAAUCCGGGGCUCAACCCCGUGAAAUGCAGACGAUACUGGCGGGCUGGAGAUCGGUAGAGGCUAGCGGAAUUCCUGGUGUAGCGGUGGAAUGCGUAGAUAUCAGGAAGAACACCCGUGGCGAAGGCGGCUAGCUGGGCCGAGUCUGACACUCAUCCGCGAAAGCGUGGGGAGCAAACA